rnacentral:rRNA from 1 species
UUGACCUCGGAUCAGGUAGGGAUACCCGCUGAACUUAAGCAUAUCAAUAAGCGGAGGAAAAGAAACCAACCGGGAUUGCCCCAGUAACGGCGAGUGAAGCGGCAAGAGCUCAAAUUUGAAAUCUGGCCCCUCCGGGGUCCGAGUUGUAAUUUGCAGAGGAUGCUUCGGGUGCGGCCCCUGUCUAAGUGCCCUGGAACGGGCCGUCAGAGAGGGUGAGAAUCCCGUCUUGGGCAGGGUGCCCGUGCCCGUGUGAAGCUCCUUCGACGAGUCGAGUUGUUUGGGAAUGCAGCUCUAAAUGGGUGGUAAAUUUCAUCUAAAGCUAAAUACCGGCCGGAGACCGAUAGCGCACAAGUAGAGUGAUCGAAAGAUGAAAAGCACUUUGAAAAGAGAGUUAAACAGCACGUGAAAUUGUUGAAAGGGAAGCGCUUGCGACCAGACUCGGCCUCGGGGUUCAGCCAGCAUUCGUGCUGGUGUACUUCCCCGGGGCCGGGCCAGCGUCGGUUC